UCCAGUUGAGGCUAGAUGUUGAACCCUGGG
rnacentral:piRNA from 1 species